rnacentral:rRNA from 1 species
GAUGAACGCUGGCGGCAGGCCUAACACAUGUAGGUCGAGCGAGGACUUCGGUCCUAGCGGCGGACGGGUGAGUAACGCGUGGGAACGUGCCCUUUGCUACGGAAUAGCCCCGGGAAACUGGGAGUAAUACCGUAUGUGCCCGAGAGGGGAAAGAUUUAUCGGCAAAGGAUCGGCCCGCGUUGGAUUAGGUAGUUGGUGGGGUAAUGGCCUACCAAGCCGACGAUCCAUAGCUGGUUUGAGAGGAUGAUCAGCCACACUGGGACUGAGACACGGCCCAGACUCCUACGGGAGGCAGCAGUGGGGAAUCUUAGACAAUGGGGGAAACCCUGAUCUAGCCAUGCCACGUGAGCGAUGAAGGCCUUAGGGUUGUAAAGCUCUUUCAGUGGGGAAGAUAAUGACGGUACCCACAGAAGAAGCCCCGGCUAACUCCGUGCCAGCCGCCGCCGUAAGAC